UUCUAGAGCAGGUUUAGAUUUAUAGGAACCUGCUACAUGUAUCACUUACCAUAUUUCCUACAGAGUGUUUGGAUGCAGAAGACAUCACAUCAGACAGUGGAGUAGGGAGCUCAUUCAGUUGGUGUUUUCAAAGGUACAUUUUGUGAAAUUACUUUUUUUUCUUAUGUAUAGAAAUAACGGUCAUGAAAAUGAACAUGGACACUGUAACAAGCUCAGUUUUGGAGGUGCGAUAUGGUUGUGUUGAUCCAAUCUACAUCGUCCGCAAGUCACUUCUGUUUUCAUUGAGUGCUGCCGAAGGAUCAUGGAAUCAGAUGAGGAUUGAACGAUAUCUAUAGAAUCUGGAGGUUCAGUGAUGGCAAGCCCAGCCGUAAGACUGUGGACAGACUUGGAAGCAAUGUGGCCUACAGUAGGAUCUGCCCACCGAGAAUGUCAGACUAGCUCGAUUCAAUACUUCAGCAACCACAUAAGACCACGUCACAAAUUGUAAAAAGAGGUUUCAAGUUCAACUCAAAGGGGACUUUUCCACUUUUCUAUUAUUGUAUUGUUUUUGUUUUGUUUUUAUUUCAUUCUUUGUAUACAAAUUUCAGCACUGUAUAUGUUGCCAUAUUGAGAUACUUGAGAUAUUCCUACUCAAAACGUCAGUCGUCUUGAAGGAGAGGAGGAGGUGAGAACGAAGGUGAUUGACAUUCAGAUUCAGCUAGGAGAAUUAGUUAUUAGUGUUACUCAAGUUGAAUUAAUAUCAAAGACCCAUAAAGAUGUUUUAAUGUUGAAUAAUUGGCGUCCAAUCUCAUUUCUAAUCAAUGAUUAUAAAAGUUUUGCAUUAUGUCUAGCUAAUAAAUUAAAGCCAGUCCUAAAUUACAUUAGUGAUGAAUCCCAUAAUGGCCUCAUGUCUGGUAGAUAAAUAAUUGAUCCAUCGUCCAUAAUAUCAUAGAUUCUAGAAAAUUUUUUUUUAAUUUUUGUAAGGUCUUAUUUUAUUCUUUUCUUAUUUUCUGUUUCUUGUGGUCUGUCCACUUUGAUUAUGUAUUAUUUCCCCUUUGCCAGUCUUGGCUUUAGGGUGUAUGUCGCUGGAAAGGUAGCUAUCUGUCUU
rnacentral:lncRNA from 1 species